CCCAUGAAAUUCAUUGUGCUAUAACUUUUACGUGGUAGUUAUUUUGGUGUAACACAGAAUCAUGUUUGUUUACUUUGUAUUGUCAUGAUAAUAAUGUGAAUUUCGAAUGUUCUAUACUUGAUUUGAUAUUUUGAUGUUCGGUAAUAUUAUUUUCAUGACUAUUGAGCGCAGCGUAAUCUGCCAUUAUUUAAAAUGCAUAAACUUCACAAUAUUAGCGCAGCGGCAGGAAUGGUGCCGAGAGGAUUGCAUAGCACUGAAAUAUACGAUUGGAAUAUCAGUAAUGUAAACAUUGAAAUGAUAAGAAAUAUGAAAUAUACAAGAUGAAAGUUUAUAUAGCAUUGUGCCCUUUACUGGGCUGAUUCCUAUCAUACGGAGCAUCAACAUGACAAGUAGCUUGAAAUGAAAAUGAAGACCAGUGCAAAUGUUUAAAGAUGAUAGUGAAGCAGUGUUCCCGAACCAGGAUAUCAAGAAGUUUCAGAACAUACCAGUCCAUAAUGUUGUGGACAAGACGAAGGGGUGGCUGAAGAUGGAGAACUUACCCUAGGCUGGUUGCUAACUGGAGAUCCUGCUUUUUUACUUCAGGAGAGACACAAGGAAUGGCGAGUUAUUGAGCUGAGGCCUACUCCUAGGCGGCGGCACGGACCAAAUGCGGCCGCGUAACAAUUCGGACAACACUUGCUAAGCGCUUUAAUUAAAAAGGGGGUAGUUUUCGGACGAGGAAGGCUGUCAGCUGAUUGUAAUGGAUUAACCUUACAAUACACAAGACUUGAGGACCAACAGACAUCUCACGCGAGCCCGCAGCCCGCUCUAUUUGAAGAGAUAAUAAUGCACCAUGCCGAAUCCCUCUGAAUUAAGAAACGCGUGUUUCAUAAGAUUUUUUAACUAAAUGGACAAAUAAUGCUAUUUAUUGUAUUAAACAGAAAGAAUUUAUUUCAAAAGUAUUAGCUUAAUAAAUAUAGCGAAAUUAAAUAAAAAUGUUUUUUCUAAAUCCUCGCAUGAUAUAGCAUAGAAAACAUUUAACAUGUACUACACGAACACUACUGUCUAUUUUAUAUGUCUGUCUCUUCACGCUUAAACUGCUAGACUAAGUGGUUUUUUAGGUUUACGCGAAUGUUAGACAUUGAAAUGAAACUACU